AGCGAACGCUGGCGGCAGGCCUAACACAUGCAAGUCGAACGAACUCUUCGGAGUUAGUGGCGGACGGGUGAGUAACACGUGGGAACGUGCCUUUUGGUUCGGAAUAACUCAGGGAAACUUGUGCUAAUACCGAAUGUGCCCUUCGGGGGAAAGAUUUAUCGCCAUUAGAGCGGCCCGCGUCUGAUUAGCUAGUUGGUGAGGUAACGGCUCACCAAGGCGACGAUCAGUAGCUGGUCUGAGAGGAUGACCAGCCACACUGGGACUGAGACACGGCCCAGACUCCUACGGGAGGGAGCAGUGGGGAAUAUUGCGGAAUGGGCGAAAGCCUGACGCAGCCAUGCCGCGUGAAUGAUGAAGGUCUUAGGAUUGUAAAAUUCUUUCACCGGGGACGAUAAUGACGGUACCCGGAGAAGAAGCCCCGGCUAACUUCGUG
rnacentral:rRNA from 1 species